AAGUCGUAACAAGGUUUCCGUAGGUGAACCUGCGGAAGGAUCAUUAACACGUAUCCAACGUAAAAAACUAUCCUGUGAACAUUCAAACCUGCUCUCGUAGCCCAGUGCGAUCCAGCAAUCCCGGUAAAUCAUUGUCGAACAGCUUUUGAUUCGGGACUUCUGACAAAUGAGAAGUUACAGUUACGAUUGAGCGGAGAUAGCUGCAUGGCAUCCCGAAGCAGUCAGUGUCUGAAAGUGUCAUUGAUUGUCUAAGGAUCUCGCCUCAACGAUUGCUAGAGGUCGCUCACCGACCGGCAGACAUGCAACCGGGUCCCCACGCCCCUUUACAACCCGAUUACCUCUGUGAGUCUAGGCGGACGCACUAGGCUAAAAAAACCUCGAGCAACUGUUAACAAUGGAUAUCUUGGUUCUC
rnacentral:misc_RNA from 1 species